UGAAAAAUAUCACUGCAAGCCUCAACCUCAACUCUGUUAGGCUGCUCUAAUGGCCUUGAUUUUCUUUCUUUGUCUUCCCCACAGAACAUGGCUGGAAAAUGACUGUACCAAGAUCCAGUUUUCCAACCCUAUAUCCCUUAAAUCUUGAUGUCUGGGCCCAUUAGCCUGCUUCUGGCUGUAUUGCUCUGCCUCUGUAACUUCAGUCCUUGUGAUUUGAAAUUCUGACCUCCCAGUGAACCUGUCAAGUGCAAUCCAGGUUGAGAGGUGAGGCCUCCUCUGCAGCUGGGCUCCAGCUCUGGUCUGACCAAGCACCACUAAGAGCAGGAAGGUGAACUCCAAAGUGGAUCCAAGAAUCAAACUCAGGCACUUGGACAUAGGAUGCAGCCUUUCCUUAUAACAGCUAUGCCAGCUUCCUCUGUAGAAGCUGGUGCUUUAAGACUUCCUUCUCAUUCCAUCUCUGCAACAACUCUGUAGUAGGCCAUUUAGAGAGAUGGAAAAUGUUGGUUUACUUCUCUCUUAAGUGAAGAUGAAAAAGUUUUAAAAAUGCAAAACAAACAUCUGUAAUGCAGUUUCUAAAAUGAUGAUUUGGAGUUUUGCAAACAGAACAAGUCUUUGCAUGGAUUCGAGAACUUGGCCAUGGAUUCAAAGACGGGGGGGACAGGAACUCCCUGAUUCACCAUCAGGAGCAGGGUGCUCUCCUUCCUCACCAAUGCCGGAAAAGCACUGGAAAUCUCAAAGACAAAAACCCAGGCCAUCAAACAAGAAGACUAAAGACUUCAUCUGGAAGUUACGCACCAGAUCUCCCAUGUGAAGACCAUGGAAGCUUGGCAGCUGCGUGGUAAUACAUUUCUGCAAAUCCCAGAAGAAACGCUUUAGUGAUGCCAUAAACACAAGUUAUGCAAGGAAGAGAGGACAUCUGGCAGUGAAGUGUGGGUGAGAGAAGACAGGAAAAUGACUGUUUCCAUAAAUCUUUUAAGCUAGAGCUGCGCCAAAGUAGAGAUGGAAGCUCAGAACCUCACUGUGUCCCAAGAGGGUGACACAAGGCCAAGUUCCUGAGAUGUUGCCUGCUGACUCCCGGGUCCAGCAGCAAGAAGCUUCACUGGAAAUAGAGAGAAAGGUAAGAAUCAAACCCAGUUAUCUAACAACUGAUGUAGCCAUCAAAGGCAAUCCACUGUGCUAAAACAUCUGCCCAUGUAAAGCUUUAUGUUAAGAUUUCAUAACAUUUGCUCCUUCAAAGGGAAUACUUCCAAUUACUGAAAUAUGCUUUAUAAAUAAUCUGCUUCAGUUAUUUUUAGGUGAAGUCUGUUGGAACACAUGAAGUUGUGAAGUCUCAAAUGAACUACUACUAGCCAAUGAUGAAAUUCAGUAGGCUAGAGUCCUUGGGCCCCAAUGUAGAAGUGGACUUUAUUCUACAAUUGGACAUGACA